rnacentral:rRNA from 1 species
CGAGCGGCGAACGGGUGAGUAACACGUGGGUGAUCUGCCUUGCACUUCGGGAUAAGCCUGGGAAACUGGGUCUAAUACCGGAUAUGACCACGAACUGCAUGGUUUGUGGUGGAAAGAUUUAUCGGUGCGAGAUGGGCCCGCGGCCUAUCAGCUUGUUGGUGAGGUAACGGCCCACCAAGGCGACGACGGGUAGCCGACCUGAGAGGGUGACCGGCCACACUGGGACUGAGACACGGCCCAGACUCCUACGGGAGGCAGCAGUGGGGAAUAUUGCACAAUGGGCGAAAGCCUGAUGCAGCGACGCCGCGUGCGGGAUGACGGCCUUCGGGUUGUAAACCGCUUUUGACAGGGACGAAGCGCAAGUGACUGUACCUGUAGAAUAAGGACCGGCCAACUACGUGCCAGCAGCCGCGGUAAUACGUAGGGUCCGAGCGUUGUCCGGAAUUACUGGGCGUAAAGAGCUUGUAGGCGGUUCGUCGCGUCGUUUGUGAAAACUUGGGGCUCAACCUUAAGCUUGCAGGCGAUACGGGCGGACUAGAGUACUUCAGGGGAGACUGGAAUUCCUGGUGUAGCGGUGAAAUGCGCAGAUAUCAGGAGGAACACCGGUGGCGAAGGCGGGUCUCUGGGAAGUAACUGACGCUGAGAAGCGAAAGCAUGGGUAGCAAACAGGAUUAGAUACCCUGGUAGUCCAUGCCGUAAACGGUGGGUACUAGGUGUGGGGCUCCUUCCACGGACUCCGUGCCGUAGCUAACGCAUUAAGUACCCCGCCUGGGGAGUACGGCCGCAAGGCUAAAACUCAAAGAAAUUGACGGGGGCCCGCACAAGCGGCGGAGCAUGUGGAUUAAUUCGAUGCAACGCGAAGAACCUUACCUGGGUUUGACAUACACCGGAAACCUGCAGAGAUGUAGGCCCCCUUGUGGUCGGUGUACAGGUGGUGCAUGGCUGUCGUCAGCUCGUGUCGUGAGAUGUUGGGUUAAGUCCCGCAACGAGCGCAACCCUUAUCUUAUGUUGCCAGCGCGUAAUGGCGGGGACUCGUGAGAGACUGCCGGGGUCAACUCGGAGGAAGGUGGGGACGACGUCAAGUCAUCAUGCCCCUUAUGUCCAGGGCUUCACACAUGCUACAAUGGCCGGUACAGAGGGCUGCGAUACCGCGAGGUGGAGCGAAUCCCUUAAAGCCGGUCUCAGUUCGGAUCGGGGUCUGCAACUCGACCCCGUGAAGUUGGAGUCGCUAGUAAUCGCAGAUCAGCAACGCUGCGGUGAAUACGUUCCCGGGCCUUGUACACACCGCCCGUCACGUCAUGAAAGUCGGUAACACCC